rnacentral:rRNA from 1 species
GACGAACGCUGGCGGCGUGCUUAACACAUGCAAGUCGAGCGGUAAGGCCCUUUCGGGGGUACACGAGCGGCGAACGGGUGAGUAACACGUGGGUGACCUGCCCUCAGCUCCGGGAUAAGCCUGGGAAACCGGGUCUAAUACUGGAUAUGACUCCAUGACGCAUGUUGUGGGGUGGAAAGCCUUGUGCGGCUGAGGAUGGGCCCGCGGCCUAUCAGCUUGUUGGUGGGGUGAUGGCCCACCAAGGCGACGACGGGUAGCCGGCCUGAGAGGGCGACCGGCCACACUGGGACUGAGACACGGCCCAGACUCCUACGGGAGGCAGCAGUGGGGAAUCUUGCGCAAUGGGCGAAAGCCUGACGCAGCGACGCCGCGUGAGGGAUGACGGCCU